rnacentral:lncRNA from 1 species
UGAGGUGUUCUGGAGGCCUGUGCACAAGACUAGGCUGUAACUCCUUCCUUAACUUUUGUGACUUUGUGUCCCUCAAAGCAUUUACAAACUAAGGUAAAAAUGACACUCUAUGUGGGAUUUUGCCAGCUUCUUCAAGCAGACAUUUCUUAGCCCAGGAAAAAGUCAACAGGUGAAGGUAAGCACUGCGCUGUUUGGAUUGAUAGUCUCCGAGGAGCCAUUUAACUGCAUGAAAACAUCCCUUGGAAAUGCUAGCAUUGGCAAUAUGCUGUAUUCAGACUACCAUCAACCUGGCAGCCCUGGGAGACCACACUCUUCUGAGGAUGCAAAGAAAAGCAGAGGCCCUGACAAGCUGAAAUUUCUUCAGACACAUUUAGGGCAUUCUGAGAGAAGAGACCACUCCCCAAGACCAAUGGGAAGCUAAGAACAUAGAAGGCCCAAAAGGCAUCAUUUAUUCAGGAAGUUCAGGAUAUGUGCUUAUAUGUUUUGUUUUUUGUUUUUUUGUUUCUCUAUUAAAGCAUUUCAAUUCUUCAGAACAGAGCAUGAAAAACGCUGCUUAUUUUUUCAGCUUUCUAGCUCAUAAGGAAUACAGAACUUGUACUUCUGUUUCGAAAUAGGAAUGGUUUUUCCUUGUUCUCAACUCCAAUUUCCAUCUGAGGCUAUGUUAUAGCCUAAGCUAUUCAUCUAGUGGAUAAACUCUGAUACAUUUUUAUUUUCCCCCUGAUAGACUAAGUAAACAUGAGGUCACUGUAAGGGUGCAGAAACUGUAACAUAAUAAUGGAGUGGUGAAUGGUUGGAGAAUAAAUUUCAGAAAAUAAAGCCAAGAGAGAAAGCAUUGGUGCUAGUAUGAACUUUCAUGUUCAAACAGUACUUCUUACCAAACACUAUUUCUAAACUAUUUCUAAUUCAGGGAUGCCUAGUUCACAGAACCCUAAAAGCAGACAGAAUGAAGGACUUCUGCAUGCUUUCCCUGCUCUUACUCUCUUCUGCUGCCUGCACUCUUCCUUUUGUCUCCUAGCCUCUCUGAGAGACAGGAUGCUGGACUGGAGAGCCUUUUUGGCUAACCUCAUACAGCUGCUCUGGUGCUCUUCUAUUUAUGCUGUGUUUUGGAGGAAGUGAUUUUCUCUUAUUCUUGAUCAUUGUCAACAAACAGCAAAACCCUCCAAUGCCAUUUUUGACAGAGUCGACCUAAAUACUUGCAUUCAAAGAUUAGUCACACACUGCUGAAGUGAAAGAAAGAAAAUGUAAACAGCCAGUGCCUUUGCCAGAAGUAUGCAAGUGUCUGUGUGGGAAAGGAUAUGAUAUAAGAGCCUGUGUAAUCAUACAUUCUUUUAUUAAAAUAAAACCUUUCACAACAAUUCCUAACAUGAUUUUUUUUUUUUUCAGGUAUUACUAUUCAUUAAACAAAGCUUGUCUGUGCAAUUAUCAAA